rnacentral:lncRNA from 1 species
CUUGCCAAUACAAGCAAGUCAUGUGCAGAGAGCUGCAGUAUGAUAUGGUACUAUUUCCCUCUCUAGAGUAGCUCCUUGGCUCCAUCUGAGAUACUUUAGUAAUCAUAACAACUAAAAAGCCACUUAUGGUUUCCUUUUUAGUGAACUGACCUACUGGUGAAAGAAUGAGUGAAAAUCUAGAGCAGGAAAUGAGAGAAAUGGUUUCUUCUCUUCCCACCUACCCUCCAACCCCCAUUCACUUUAAUCCUACAAAGAAAUGCAUCUUUGUAAAUCUCUCAAUACUUGAUUUAUUAAAAGUGCCCAGGGAUUUCGUUUUUUUAACUUCUUUUUUUAUUUGUCUUAUAUUUAAUAAAUAAGUUGAGAAAAUAAGGAAUCAAGUUGUACAUGAAUUCUCAAGGUAGGGCCUAUCACCUCCUCCCACACCACCCCCCUUUUAGGGGGAUGCACUAGGGUGCAUAAUAAGGAAAAGAGCAGAAUUUAAUAAGAUCUAGAAAUUAUUUUAUCACCUUUUAAAAUAAAUUAGGUAUACAUUUGGUUAUUCCAAUUGUAUUCUCCUUAGGUGUGCUAAAAAUAAAGAAAUUAGUGUGGAAUUCUGAGAAUCUCUGUCUUCAUGUGGUUGAAUAAAGUAUUAUAGGACUUACUUUAUUAUUAUUAUUAUUAUUUUUAAGUAUAUAAAUCUGAUCCUGAGAUUAGUUUACAUCUUUAAAAGUUAGUCAGGUGAGGCAGCUAGGUAUCAAAGUCGAUAGAGCACCAGCCCUGAAGUUAGAAGGACCUGAGUUCUAAUCUGACCUCAGACACUUAACACUUCCUGUGUGACCCUGCAGCAAGUCACUUAACACCAGUUGCCUCAGCAAAAAAAAACCAAACACACAUUUUUUUUUUGUUUUGUUUUGUUUUUAGUUUUUCCUUCCCCUCCCCUUGGGUGUGAGGAGGGGAUUGUAAAGAUAAUGAUUAAAAAGAAAGGAUUUAUUCCAAGGAAUUGUAGGGUUUCUCUUAAGUCCCUGCAGUCCCAUGAAUUAGGGUGUUUAUUUCAUAGUUUUACUGCUGCAGAAUAGAUAUAGGAACAAACUCUUUCAAAAGAAUAGGAAACACAUUUUAGUGGCUUCCAUACAUUUUAAAGAGGUUUUAAUCAGUUAACUGCUUAUGUAUCCAUAUUUAUGUGACUAAAUAUUUGUAUCUUAGACAUUGAACAUUAGAUCCAAUGUACAUGUGUCACAGUUUUGUUUUUUUUUUAAAUGGAGAUCAUAUAUUCCUUCAAACCACUUCAGUGAUUCAGACAGUACCAUGCACCCAAUAGGCAU